UGGGGAAUAUUGCACAAUGGGCGGAAGCCUGAUGCAGCGACGCCGCGUGGGGGAUGAAGGCCUUCGGGUUGUAAACUCCUUUCGACAGGGACGAAGCGUAAGUGACGGUACCUGUAUAAGAAGCACCGGCUAACUACGUGCCAGCAGCCGCGGUAAUACGUAGGGUGCGAGCGUUGUCCGGAAUUACUGGGCGUAAAGAGCUCGUAGGUGGUUUGUCGCGUCGUCUGUGAAAUUCCGGGGCUUAACUCCGGGCGUGCAGGCGAUACGGGCCGACUUGAGUGCUGUAGGGGAGACUGGAAUUCCUGGUGUAGCGGUGAAAUGCGCAGAUAUCAGGAGGAACACCGAUGGCGAAGGCAGGUCUCUGGGCAGUAACUGACGCUGAGGAGCGAAAGCAUGGGUAGCGAACAGGAUUAGAUACCCUGGUAGUCCAUGCCGUAAACGGUGGGCGCUAGGUGUAGGGGGCUUCCACGUCUUCUGUGCCGUAGCUAACGCAUUAAGCGCCCCGCCUGGGGAGUACGGCCGCAAGGCUA
rnacentral:rRNA from 1 species